UACGUAGGUGACAAGCGUUGUCCGGAUUUACUGGGCGUAAAGAGCGCGCAGGCGGUCGAUCAAGUCGAGUGUGAAAGCCCCCGGCUCAACUGGGGAGGGUCAUUCGAUACUGAUCGACUCGAAGGCAGGAGAGGGUAGUGGAAUUCCCGGUGUAGUGGUGAAAUGCGAAGAUAUCGGGAGGAACACCAGUGGCGAAGGCGACUACCUGGCCUGUUCUUGACGCUGAGGCGCGAAAGCUAGGGGAGCAAACGGG
rnacentral:rRNA from 1 species